CCUACGGGAGGCAGCAGUAGGGAAUCUUUCUCAAUGGGCGAAAGCCUGAAGGAGCAACGCCGCGUGCAGGAUGAAGGCCCUCGGGUUGGUAACUGCUUUUAUAAGGGAGGAAAAUGAUGCUAACUUUUGAAUAAUGAUCGUCUCACUACAUGCCAGCAGCAGCGGCCCUACGUAGGAACCGGGCAUUAUCCGGAGUGAGUGAGUGUUAAAAGUUGUUUAGGUGGCGUAAGAAGUCGCUAGUGAAAUCUGGUGGGUCAACCAUUCGGACUGUUAGCUAAACUGUUAAUCUCGAGACCGUUAGGGGUAAGCGGAAUGUCUGGUGUAGGGGUGAAAUGCAUAGAUAUUAGAAAGAACACCGAUAGCGUAGGCAGGUUGCUGGGACGGUUCUGACGCUGAGGCACGAAAGCGUAGGGAGCAAACGGGAUUAGAUACCCGAGUAGUC
rnacentral:rRNA from 1 species